UUGGAGUUGCUUGCUGUAAAGGAUACCCAUAAUAACGCCAAACAUAACCACAGCGCUGGCAUAAGGCAACAAUUUUACUUUUGUCCUUGGGACUACUUUCUUCAAUAGGGGGAGCAACAAACCACUCAGAGCUUCGCUUACUAUGACACCAACGACAAAUAGGAGUCUUUUUAAGUUUUAAAAUUUUCUGAAGAUCAUACAUUCCAAUGUCAUAACAACAUGUUGGCAACCCAUGAGAAUCUGUGGUAGUAGUUGAAAGGGAAGAAUCGCUUAGCUUUUUAAAUGUAUUCAACCCUUUAGGAGAAGAGGCCCAUGACAAAAAAGAAAAGAAAAUUUCCUUUAAAGAAUAUUCAAAUUUUAGUUUCUCUACAAAACAUUGCAGUGAUACGCCGAAUUCCUUUACCAAACUAUUAAUUUUAUGUUCAUCAACGCGCUUCCCUGUACAAUUUUUUGGGUCACCAAACCCUGGCAUCCACGAUUUUAACUUUUCAAAUGCAGCCGCUGGACUUAACUUGGUCUCAUAUAAAGCUGUUAUAGUUAAUUCUAAAAAUACAAAAGCUGAAACAGGAAGGCGAAGUUUUUUCCAAAGAUUCCAACAACUACACAAAUAGUCAUCUAGAAGUGCAUCGGAAUAUGUGAUUGGAACUAGAAGCAUAGCUGAUUGUAAGUUAGGCUCACAAAGAGGAAACAAAUAUCCCUUAAGUGGAAGAUCUUUUAGAAAAGGCCAACGUUCAAAAAAAGUUGGAAUAUCAACUUUAAAGCGCUCAUCUGACUUUAAAUCCAAGUCCAUUUCUUCAUCGGCGGUGGUUAAUGGUUGCAGUGGAUGUAAGUUAUCCUCUGAAGAAGUAGGAAGCAUUGGCGAGAUUGAAAUACGAGCACGGGAUGGGUAUAUGUCCGAUUUUUUUUCGACAGUCAGGUCACUUUUCAAAUCUAGGUAACGCAUAUUCCACGGAAGUCGUUUGAGCUUAGAUACAUUUGAAAAUGAGUUUGGUUUAUUUUCAUCAAGAGAUUUUCGAGAUUGCUGGUGUAGGUUGCGAGAAGACCUUAGGGACUUUAAAUUUCUUCGCUUCCCAUGAUCCUCUUGAAGAGAAACAUUAGACAAUGCUUUAUUAUGUCCU